AUGGCCGCUGGGCGGGCCUUCUUCUGCGCCCCCUCCUCCAUCGGAGCCACCGCCCGUCGGCUAGCCUUCGCCUCACCCCCGGCCCGCCCCCUCGCCUCCGCGCCCCACCGCCGCGUCCGCGGCCGCUGCUGCGCCUCAAUCUCCUCGUCCUCAGAUGCUUCCCCGCCCGCGCCGCCACCCUAUGUGCUCACCACGCCGCUCUACUACGUCAACGCGCCGCCGCACAUGGGCAGCGCAUACACGACCAUCGCCGCCGACGCUGUCGCCCGCUUCCAGAGAUUGCUAGAGAAGAGGGUUAUAUUCAUUACUGGGACAGAUGAGCAUGGUGAAAAAAUUGCCACCUCUGCAGAGGCCAGUGGUAGAAACCCCAAGGAGCACUGUGAUAUAAUUUCAAAUUCAUACAAGAUGCUUUGGGCUGAUCUAGACAUCGAGUAUGACAAGUUUAUUCGCACAACUGAUCCUAAGCACGAGGCUGUUGUUAAUGACUUCUAUUCUAGAGUUCUAAGUAGUGGUGACAUAUAUAGGGCUGAUUACGAAGGGCUUUACUGUGUCAGCUGUGAGGAGUACAAGGAUGAAAAAGAGUUGGGGGAAAAUAAUUGCUGUCCUGUGCAUCUGAAGCCUUGUGUACCUAGAAAGGAAGAUAAUUAUUUCUUUGCCUUGUCAAAAUAUCAGCAUAAAUUAGAAGAGCUACUGACAAGCAAUCCCAAUUUUGUAAGGCCAUCACAUCGUUUGCACGAGGUCGAAGGCUGGAUUAAAAGUGGAUUGAGAGACUUCUCUAUUUCUCGUGCAUCUGUCGAGUGGGGUAUUCCAGUGCCAAAUGACACCAAACAAACAAUAUACGUGUGGUUUGAUGCCUUAUUAGGUUAUCUUUCUGCGUCCCUAGAUGAUGGGGAGCAGGCAAGUUUACAGCAAGCUGUUGAUCGGGGUUGGCCUGCAUCUCUACACCUGAUAGGAAAGGACAUAUUGCGGUUUCAUGCAAUUUAUUGGCCAGCAAUGUUAAUGUCAGCAGGGAUAAGCGUUCCUGAUGCAGUUUUUGGCCAUGGAUUCUUGACAAAGGAUGGCAUGAAGAUGGGAAAAUCGCUAGGCAACACACUUGAACCAAAGGAUCUGGUAGGCAGAUUUGGAGCGGAUGCUGUUAGGUACUUCUUCUUGCGGGAAGUAGAAUUUGGCAAUGAUGGGGACUAUUCAGAAGAACGUUUUAUCAAUACAGUCAAUGCACAUCUUGCUAACACAAUUGGAAACCUUCUCAAUCGAACGCUUGGUCUCCUAAAAAAGAACUGCAAUUCCACCUUAGCUUUUGAUUCAAUUGCUGCUGCAGAUGGCAAUUCAUUCAAGAAUAAUGUUGAAAACUUGGUGGACAAGGCGAAGGGCCAUUACGAAAAUCUUUCGUUGACAUCAGCAUGCGAAACUGUUCUAGAAAUUGGUAACUUGGGAAACUUGUACAUUGACGAGCAAGCACCAUGGUCUUGUUUCAAGCAAGGGGGCGAGAUUGCUGAAAAGGCUGCAAAGGAUCUCGUCAUUAUUCUAGAGACAAUGAGAAUAAUUGCAAUAGCAUUGUCUCCAAUCACCCCAAGCCUUUCGUUGAGGAUUUAUACACAGCUUGGUUUCACAGAAGACCAGUUUCGUACAUUGAGAUGGGAUGAUACCAAAUGGGGAGCCCUUAAAGCAGGCCAGGCAAUGAUGGAUCCGAAGCCAAUUUUUGCCAAAAUAGAAACCGAAGUCGAAGAGAAAGAUCAAGCAAGUCCAAAGGAGGGGAAGGGCGGGAAGAAGAAAGCACGUAGCAAAGGGCUCGUGGAGGCAUGA
rnacentral:rRNA from 1 species